rnacentral:lncRNA from 1 species
UGCGCCAUGUCGUGUAAAUGAGUCUUUCACGACAUUAUAGUAACACGGUUCCUCGCUGCAAGUUAUUCAUGCGGCCAGUUGUAAAAUGUACAUGGCUCAAUGACCGAACAUUAAUCAGGAGAUGUUUUUUCCAGUGAGUAAGAAAGAAGAAGAGGAGCAUCAUUUCACUCUUAAUGGAAAUCUUGUAGUAUGCCGAUCCUUUGUUUGCCUGAUUUUUAUGUCUAAUGAUCUCAAGAGGGCUACUGAGGCAUGGAGUCACCAUCUGGAUCGAUGUUCCCCUCGAGUCAGCGGCAAAUGAUAUGUUGAAGGGCAUGGGGGC